CUUAAUUAAAAAUUCCGCUGUAAAGACAAAAGAACCCUUUUGCUUAAAUAAGCACCAAACUAAAGAAUAUAAAACCAUCGUUAAAAACUCACUGAUGUCUGGCGCUGGAUUAUGUAAGGUUAAAAUCAUAUAUCAGUCUUAUACAUCUGACAGCCACUUUUUAUGAUCUUGCAAAUAUGCAAAUAUGAAUGCAUGGAUGCAAA
rnacentral:lncRNA from 1 species